CCAGCCCACUCAACGUUUUCGUGUCCUAUUUAAACUAAAUCAGUUCCUAUUUCGCCUACACCAGUAUGAGUGGCAAGGCUAGAGCAGCCUGCGCGUUCGUGACCACAGCAGCGAUCCAUCUGAUGGCCGGUUUUAAGAUAAUACUGUUAGCAUUUGUUUUUAUUCUUGCGAGCUCUGCGGCAUCUAACAAAUGCCCAGCAAAUCAGGAAACAUCGUGCGACAGCCUGCGCGCGCCCCAUCACGGAUACACCUACACGGUACCCGCGGACAUACCAUGCUCUGGAGAUUGCGAACACGGGUGGUACUAUCAGAAUGGCACGUUUAUUGUCGACUCAACUCCGAAUGGCGAUGGAAAGAGGUUACCAGUUGUAGUGGAUGUAACGCCUCAGAAGCUGUCAUUGAGUGUCUGCGAGAACCUAAGGUGGGAACUUAAAUGUGCCAAG